rnacentral:rRNA from 1 species
UACGUAGGUGGCAAGCGUUGUCCGGAAUCAUUGGGCGUAAAGGGCGCGUAGGUGGCCCGGUCAGUCUUUGGUGAAAGCGCGGGGCUCAACCCUGCGUCGGCCAGGGAUACUGCCGCGGCUCGAGCACUGUAGGGGCGGGUGGAAUUCCGGGUGUAGCGGUGGAAUGCGUAGAGAGUCCGGAAGAACACCGGUGGCGAAGGCGGCCCGCUGGGCAGGAAGGCUCGCAAGAGCCGGUCUGACGCUGAGGCGCGACAGCGGUGGG